rnacentral:rRNA from 1 species
AGUGAACGCUGGCGGUGGGCCUAACACAUGCAAGUCGAACGGCAGCACAGUAAGAGCUUGCUCUUACGGGUGGCGAGUGGCGGACGGGUGAGGAAUACAUCGGCAUCUACUUUUUCGUGGGGGAUAACGUAGGGAAACUUACGCUAAUACCGCAUACGACCUACGGGUGAAAGCAGGGGAUCUUCGGACCUUGCGCGAUUGAAUGAGCCGAUGUCGGAUUAGCUAGUUGGCGGGGUAAAGGCCCACCAAGGCGACGAUCCGUAGCUGGUCUGAGAGGAUGAUCAGCCACACUGGAACUGAGACACGGUCCAGACUCCUACGGGAGGCAGCAGUGGGGAAUAUUGGACAAUGGGCGCAAGCCUGAUCCAGCCAUGCCGCGUGGGUGAAGAAGGCCUUCGGGUUGUAAAGCCCUUUUGUUGGGAAAGAAAAGCAGCAGGUUAAUACCCCGCUGUUCUGACGGUACCCAAAGAAUAAGCACCGGCUAACUUCGUG